CUUUGGUUCUAUUUUGUUGGUUUUAAGGACCAAUGUCAUGAUGAAUAGGGACAGUUGGGGGCAUUCGUAUUCCGAAGCUAGAGGUGAAAUUCUUGGAUUUUCGGAAGACGAACUACUGCGAAAGCAUUUGCCAAGGAUGUUCUCAUUAAUCAAGAACGAAAGUUAGGGGAUCGAAGACGAUUAGAUACCGUCGUAGUCUUAACCAUAAACGAUGCCGACUAGGGAUCAGUAAACAUCGAUUGUGAUUUUAUUGGCACCUUACGAGAAAUCAAAGUUUUUGGGUUCUGGGGGGAGUAUGGUCGCAAGAUUGAAACUUAAAGGAAUUGACGGAAGGGCACCACCAGGAGUGGAGCCUGCGGCUUAAUUUGACUCAACACGGGGAAACUCACC
rnacentral:rRNA from 1 species